rnacentral:ncRNA from 2 species
CAACUGAAUAGUGUAGCCGGUGCCGUUUCUCUUGCAAGAGGAGAACGGAGAAUAGGGAAACAGGUGAAAGGCCUGUACGAUCUCGUCACUGUAUGUAACGAGUGUAUUGCCUGUGUCGGAAAAGACAGUCACUGACGAAAGUUGGGAAGACGGUAGUGCGCGAUGACUUACGAGUCAGGAUACCUGCCGGCUGCUGGUACAGGAA